AUUACCUACGGGGCGCAGCAGUGGGGAAUAUUGGUCAAUGGGCGGGAGCCUGAACCAGCCAAGUCGCGUGAGGGAAGACGGUCCUAUGGAUUGUAAACCUCUUUAGGCGGGGAGCAAUGCCGGGCACGCGUGCCCGGAGGGAGAGUACCCGCAGAAUAAGCAUCGGCUAACUCCGUGCCAGCAGCCGCGGUAAUACGGAGGAUGCGAGCGUUAUCCGGAUUUAUUGGGUUUAAAGGGGGCGUAGGAGGGCUUUUAAGUCAGCAGUAAAAAUUCGGGGCUCAACCCCGGC
rnacentral:rRNA from 1 species